rnacentral:lncRNA from 1 species
CUGUUCCUCUCCUCCUCUUAACUCGCUCCAGUGGUUAGGAAGAGGACCUCUUAUUUUGUUUGCUACUGGGAGGCGUUUGGUCCCCUGCUCUGGUACACUGAUGCUUCUAUUCUUUGUUCUUGCCGUGGGGUUUGCAUUAAAACUUGACAAGCCUCCUCUGUUGUCUUCUGUAAUGUAGCGUUGUUGUUUCGGGCUCUAUAGUUAUUUCUCCUUUGCUU